rnacentral:rRNA from 1 species
UACAGAGGGGGCAAGCGUUGUUCGGAAUUAUUGGGCGUAAAGGGCGUGUAGGCGGUUUGUUAAGUCUGGCGUGAAAGCUCUCGGCUAAACCGGGAGAGGUCGUUGGAUACUGGCGAACUAGAGGAUGGUAGAGGCGUGUGGAAUUCCGGGUGUAGUGGUGAAAUGCGUAGAGAUCCGGAGGAACACCAGUGGCGAAGGCGACACGCUGGGCCAUACCUGACGCUAAAGCGCGACAGCAUGGGGAGCAAACGGG